CGGCGUGCUUAACACAUGCAAGUCGAACGAAGAUAUUUAGAAUGAGAGCUUCGGCAGGAUUUUUAUCUAUCUUAGUGGCGGACGGGUGAGUAACGUGUGGGCAACCUGCCCUGUACUGGGGAAUAAUCAUUGGAAACGAUGACUAAUACCGCAUGUGGUCCUCGGAAGGCAUCUUCUGAGGAAGAAAGGAUUUAUUCGGUACAGGAUGGGCCCGCAUCUGAUUAGCUAGUUGGUGAGAUAACAGCCCACCAAGGCGACGAUCAGUAGCCGACCUGAGAGGGUGAUCGGCCACAUUGGGACUGAGACACGGCCCAAACUCCUACGGGAGGCAGCAGUGGGGAAUAUUGCACAAUGGGCGAAAGCCUGAUGCAGCAACGCCGCGUGAAGGAUGAAGGGUUUCGGCUCGUAAACUUCUAUCAAUAGGGAAGAAAGAAAUGACGGUACCUAAAUAAGAAGCCCCGGCUAACUACGUGCCAGCAGCCGCGGUAAUACGUAGGGGGCAAGCGUUAUCCGGAAUUACUGGGUGUAAAGGGAGCGUAGGCGGCAUGGUAAGCCAGAUGUGAAAGCCUUGGGCUUAACCCGAGGAUUGCAUUUGGAACUAUCAAGCUAGAGUACAGGAGAGGAAAGCGGAAUUCCUAGUGUAGCGGUGAAAUGCGUAGAUAUUAGGAAGAACACCAGUGGCGAAGGCGGCUUUCUGGACUGAAACUGACGCUGAAGCUCCAAAGCCGUGGGAGCAAACCGGAUUAGAUACCCUGGUACUCCCCCCCCGUAAACGAUGAGUGCUAGGUGUCGGGGAGGAAUCCUCGGUGCCGCAGCUAACGCAAUAAGCACUCCACCUGGGGAGUACGACCGCAAGGUUGAAACUCAAAGGAAUUGACGGGGGCCCGCACAAGCGGUGGAGCAUGUGGUUUAAUUCGAAGCAACGCGAAGAACCUUACCAAGGCUUGACAUCCCGAUGACCGUCCUAGAGAUAGGACUUCUCUUCGGAGCAUCGGUGACAGGUGGUGCAUGGUUGUCGUCAGCUCGUGUCGUGAGAUGUUGGGUUAAGUCCCGCAACGAGCGCAACCCUUAUCUUCAGUAGCCAUCAUUGAGUUGGGCACUCUGGAGAGACUGCCGUGGAUAACACGGAGGAAGGUGGGGAUGACGUCAAAUCAUCAUGCCCCUUAUGUCUUGGGCUACACACGUGCUACAAUGGCUGGUAACAAAGUGACGCAAGACGGUGACGUUAAGCAAAUCACAAAAACCCAGUCCCAGUUCGGAUUGUAGUCUGCAACUCGACUACAUGAAGCUGGAAUCGCUAGUAAUCGCGAAUCAGCAUGUCGCGGUGAAUACGUUCCCGGGCCUUGUACACACCGCCCGUCACACCAUGGGAGUUGGAAGCACCCGAAGUCGGUGACCUAACCGUAAGGAAGGAGCCGCCGAAGGUGAAGCCAGUGACUGG
rnacentral:rRNA from 1 species